GAUGAAGAACGCAGCGAAAUGCGAUAAGUAAUGUGAAUUGCAGAAUUCAGUGAAUCAUCGAAUCUUUGAACGCACAUUGCGCCCGCCAGUAUUCUGGCGGGCAUGCCUGUUCGAGCGUCAUUUCAACCCUCAGGUCCCCCUUUUCGGAGGGGGAGACACCCUGGUGUUGGGGGACGGCCUGGCCUUCUGAGCCGCGCCGCCCCCGAAAUGAAUUGGCGGCCUCGUCGCGUGCCACCCAUGCGUAGUAGCACAACCUCGCAACGGGAGCCCGACGCGGCCACUGCCGUAAAACGCCCAACUUUUAAGAGUUGACCUCGAAUCAGGUAGGAAUACCCGCUGAACUUAAGCAUAUCAAUAAGCGGAGGA
rnacentral:misc_RNA from 1 species